rnacentral:misc_RNA from 1 species
GUAGGUGAACCUGCGGAGGGAUCAUUAACACGUGCCAAAACACGUUUUAAACCAAUCAUCUGUGAACACAAACCAAACUCCCUUCACACGUGGACGAUCGAACAACCAUCAGGGUGGAGUGCAUGUGCAUAUGGAACAAUCGAUUCGGAAAGGAAACUUCUCCGAGGAGACUCGAUAUGUCUUGCAACUAUGGCUCGGUCUAGGGCUCCUUUGAGAGUCCAAUCCUGUGUGAAGCGAUUGCGCGACCACC